AAUAUAGAGACAAUAGAAUAUUAAAUUAAAUAUUUCAGCAAUAUGAACACUCCCACCUGAAUACCAUCCACUUAUGAAAGAAAAAAAACCUAAAAAAAUGGUUGAUUAAAAGCCAUUGGAUAAUGCAAUAAUUUAAUUCUAGAUGGUUCAUUGUAAAAUAAUUAUGGGCACAAUAAUCAAAAGAUGUAUCAGAGAUAAAAAGAAAAAAAAACUAAUAAAUAAAUCAGUAGUGAUUAGAAUCAAAGAAGAUUAAACUAAGGUUAUAAUUGAUAAUCACACUCAAAAUUUUGAUUCAUAUUGCCUUUAUUAUUAUCUCAAAAACAAUCCAUGAAAACUAAAAAGAAAUUAAAAUUGUGAAUGAUAAAAAAGUCACUCCCUGGAAAAUUCAAAAUCAUAUUUCAAAGUCUAUUCAAAACUGUAGUCAUAAAUGUGCUUAAACCCUAGCUUAUUCGUUGAAUUGAACUUCAAUCUAAAAUAGUUUGUGAACCAUUUCUACUUUCAAAUGUUUAACUUGAACAUUUAAAUUCAAAUUGGAAAUAUGCAUAUAAUGAAAAAGAAAUUCAAUAAAAUUAUUAGGAAAGCUUAACAAAAUCACAUACCUGGCUUCAACAAAACAUCUCUAAUUUCUCAAGCUUCUUUGUAGCAUAUACAUGAUCUGUCAACUUUUCUCUUCAGACUCCAACACGACAUGGCCUUCCC